GGUUUCUGGAUAAAUCAAGAAGUGCAGUUUGACUGGAGGAACUCGCUCUCCCUUGCCUUGGCCUCAGCACAAUCUCAUGUUGUGGCUGAGGAUCACUGCUGCACUCGCUGUCAGUGCCACCUUUGCUCCUUCUCAUGUCCAGGAGCUCACCUGGGCCUCUCGUGGCUCCUCCCUUUCACAGAAACUCCACACAUUAUCCAUGCAUAGAUUAAACUGCCUUUGGUCAGCAGCAGAUUACUUGAAAUUCCCCAGCUCAAACACAGCUGCAGCCUGUGGAUGGAAUUGCAAGGGCAGGAUGCAGCAGCUCGCAGCCAGCAGAAGCAGGGACUCUCUGGGUAGGCAUUGAAAGCUGUUGGGUCACUCUCUGUGGGUCUCACCCCAUUUACCCCCAG